UUCUUGAAGAAAAUUUGCAGAGCUGUCUUUGGGGUUUAUGAACUUGGAAUUCUUUUUAUGGGAGCGGGUACAACUGUUGGAGAUCACAGAAGAACCACCUAGAAUAGAAACGCACUGCUAACUGACCAUGUAGAACUGACGGGUUCACGGAUCGUAAGCUCCUGAUUUCUUAAACCAGACAAUAGUGUCCUCGAAAAGAAAAUGGAAGAUGGCAAAGGUUCGUGGCUGAAAUUUGAGAAAUUGGAAGGCAACGUGCUUUGGGUUCCAUUUCAAUGUGUCUGCACAUGGCAUACUGCUACUGCUUUAUCGUUCAUGUUGUCAUCACUUUACAAAGACACCAUAUAAGCACUUAUUUUUUCUGGUGCAUGACUGGAUAAGACAGCGUACUUGUAAUCGAGCUUUCGUUGCCUGCCAGCUGAUAACGAUAGAAUCAUCAUUCAUUCAGAUGUUUUUAGUCUUCGAUUGUACAGAUGUGUCUCAUUAACUCAAAAUGUAUUCAUUGGACAGCAUGAUUAUAUAAUACAUACCUUAUGCCUCUGAUGAGUUGUCGAGGCCAUUCACUUC
rnacentral:sRNA from 1 species